rnacentral:tRNA from 1 species
GAAUUAAGAAAAUUUCAAGAUAAAACUUCUAAUUUAAUCUUAAGCGAACUAAUCGUUUUUAAUUCU